CCUACGGGGAGCUGCAGUGGGGAAUAUUGGACAAUGGGCGAAAGCCUGAUCCAGCCAUGCCGCGUGUGUGAGGAAGGCCUUCGGGUUGUAAAGCACUUUCAGUGGGGAAGAAAGCCUUGGGGCUAAUACCCUCGAGGAAGGACAUCACCCACAGAAGAAGCACCGGCUAACUCCGUGCCAGCAGCCGCGGUAAUACGGAGGGUGCGAGCGUUAAUCGGAAUUACUGGGCGUAAAGCGCGCGUAGGCGGUCUGAUAAGCCGGUUGUGAAAGCCCCGGGCUCAACCUGGGAACGGCAUCCGGAACUGUCAGGCUAGAGUGCAGGAGAGGAAGGUAGAAUUCCCGGUGUAGCGGUGAAAUGCGUAGAGAUCGGGAGGAAUACCAGUGGCGAAGGCGGCCUUCUGGACUGACACUGACGCUGAGGUGCGAAAGCGUGGGUAGCAAACAGGAUUAGAUACCCCGGUAGUC
rnacentral:rRNA from 1 species